GAUACUUUGAUAAAUCUUUGAGUUCGAUCAUUCCUGUUUACUUUCUUUGGUCAGUACUAUAUAAUAAAUGAAUUGCCCAUGAAUCAAUACACUGCAACAUUAUUCCUAACAACUCUAAGAAAUGCAAAUGCCAAAAAAUCCCUCUUCAUCUUGUCAGAUAUCUAUAAAGAAAUUGCAUCUAAAACUGGCAAUACAUUCCUACAAUUGAAGAAUAUAAUUUAAAGUCCCAUACUUUGAAGAGCACAAGGCACAGUAAGAACACAAACUACAUCAUGGAGAGUGAUGCAGGAUUGCAUGGGACUUUAUGCGACCCCCCAAGAAAAGAAAAGGCUAAAAAAAAAAAAAAAAAAAAAAGAAUGUUCACUAGGGGGCCCCUACUAAAAAAAAAAAAAAAAAAAAAGUAUGUUCACUAGUGGGCCCCUAGCUUACGCUUCUUUGCCAACCUUCUCGCCCGCUCUCGCCGCUCCUCUUCCUCAAUAAGACGGAGCUGCUCCUCAUCCUCCUUCUUUGCAAUUUUU
rnacentral:lncRNA from 1 species